UGGGGAAUAUUGCGCAAUGGGGGGAACCCUGACGCANNCAUGCCGCGUGAAUGAAGAAGGCCUUCGGGUUGUAAAGUUCUUUCGGUAUUGAGGAAGGUUGAUGUGUUAAUAGCACAUCAAAUUGACGUUAAAUACAGAAGAAGCACCGGCUAACUCCGUGCCAGCAGCCGCGAUAAUACGGAGGGUGCGAGCGUUAAUCGGAAUAACUGGGCGUAAAGGGCACGCAGGCGGUUAUUUAAGUGAGGUGUGAAAGCCCCGGGCUUAACCUGGGAAUUGCAUUUCAGACUGGGUAACUAGAGUACUUUAGGGAGGGGUAGAAUUCCACGUGUAGCGGUGAAAUGCGUAGAGAUGUGGAGGAAUACCGAAGGCGAAGGCAGCCCCUUGGGAAUGUACUGACGCUCAUGUGCGAAAGCGUGGGGAGCAAACAGGAUUAGAUACCCUGGUAGUCCCCGCUGUAAACGCUGUCGAUUUGGGGGUUGGGGUUUAACUCUGGCGCCCGUAGCUAACGUGAUAAAUCGACCGCCUGGGGAGUACGGCCGCAAGGUUA
rnacentral:rRNA from 1 species